UACGAAGGGGGCUAGCGUUGCUCGGAAUCACUGGGCGUAAAGCGCACGUAGGCGGACUCUUAAGUCGGUGGUGAAAUCCUGGAGCUCAACUCCAGAACUGCCUUCGAUACUGAGAGUCUCGAGUCCGAGAGAGGUGAGUGGAACUGCGAGUGUAGAGGUGAAAUUCGUAGAUAUUCGCAAGAACACCAGCGGCGAAGGCGGCGCCUCUGGGCCGGUACUGACACUGAGGAGCGAAAGCGUGGGGAGCAAACGGG
rnacentral:rRNA from 1 species